UACGUAGGGGGCAAGCGUUGUCCGGAUUUAUUGGGCGUAAAGAGCUCGUAGGCGGUUCGGUAAGUCGGGUGUGAAACCUCCAGGCUCAACCUGGAGACGCCACCCGAUACUGCUGUGACUAGAGUCCGGUAGGGGAGCGUGGAAUUCCUGGUGUAGCGGUGGAAUGCGCAGAUAUCAGGAAGAACACCCGUGGCGAAGGCGGCUCUCUGGGACGGUACUGACGCUGAGACGCGAAAGCGUGGGGAGCGAACAGG
rnacentral:rRNA from 1 species